UUGUAAUAAAAAUUGAUAACUAUGUCCAGCUCGAGAUGAACCUGUUUAAUUUAAAAUUUAAAUAAUAUAUAAUUGUGUAUUGUGUUACAAUAUAAUAAAACAAAUAUUAAGCUUAGCUUGUGUUUUUGUAGCUGUAAGUUGUUCAAGUGUCUUGUUAGCCGAUCCUUAACCAGCCAGGUCUCCUUUAUAGCUGUGCGAUUGUAUUGCAACAAAACCAUGGUCAAAGUAGAAGAAGAAUAUUAUGAACAACUUAAAAUGAACCAUACCAAAGCCGAUGAAGAAAAAACAAAAUCGAAUUUCAAUGAAAUGACAGAAAUUGGUGUCAAUACCCAAACUGAUUCUCAAACGACAAUGACAGCAAUACAUACAAGGUUAACAAAGAAGGAAUUAAAACUGAAAUAUACCAACCGGAUGAUUGUUACGACGAUGCCAGGGAAUCGUAUAAUAUGUUUUCAUCAACAGAGAACCGACUUGAACAAACAUUUGACAGCAAUACUUACAAUAUAAGAGAAACAAUUGUGAAAGUGGAAGCAGAUAUAGUGCAAGGUAACUAUUUUGAGUCUGUGAUAGAAUUUGAAAAAAAAAGGCUUUUUGGAUACUCAGAUGUCGAACUAUGAUUUGGAUAAAAUUCGGACAUUUAUUUGCGACCUCUGCCAAGAAUCGUUUACUUCUAAAAGGAAUGUGGCCAAUCAUAUUAAUGAAUCACACAGAAUGCAGAUGUGUACUAAAAAAAAUGUCGUCAGAAAUACACUAAGCAAUAAAAUAGUUCCGAAGAAAAACACUAAAAAAUCAAAAAGACGGCGAUCGUUCCAUUGUGAUUUGUGUCAAAUGUCGUACUUUACUAAAAAGCAAAUAACAUUACAUAUACUACAAGUUCACAAAGGUUCACCGCACGAAACCUGUCCUCAAAAAUCUAAAUCUAAAUUUCCCAAUUCUACAUUACAUAAACGCGUGCAUAUUGGAGAGAGACCAUUCAAAUGUGACCAGUGUCAAAAGACUUUUUCUCGAAAAGAUAACCUUAGGAAACAUGAACGUGUGCACACCGGUGAAAAACCCUACGAAUGUGUCUUGUGCAAAAAGACCUUUUCUCACAAAAGUAACCUUACUCAACAUGAACGCUUGCAUGUGUUAUAUGGUGACCACGUCAUCAAUAUAGGUUACGUGUUUUUUUAAUAAAUGCGGGCAGUGCUUCCGGAGACUUGAGACUGAUGACCAAACGAUUAAAUUAACAAUAACGCUGAAUUGCAAAUUGUAAAACUAUAUAAAAGACAAUCAGAUUUAAUGGUAUUUCGUCAGUCGACUUUACCAGAGCUAUAUGUCAUCAGUUAAGAGUACUCGGUUGUCGCUGUCCGUCUACAGGUACUCGUGUCUUGCGAUUCGUUCGCACCUUGUACCUAUCCUUUCUCAUUCUCUAAUUCUUUUUAAUCCAGUGUAAACAACGGCUCUUCGACAUCCGCGAAGAACCCGGACAGCAAUCCGUUUCACUCUUGUGCCAGUGUUCACCUGUGUACAUCAAGAGUCUAGAGGAUCCUUUUCCUUUUUUUUUGUCUUACGACACAUGCUAAUAAAAGACCUUAGUCAUUGUGCUUGAUAAUUUCCAAACUGUAAUUAUUUAAU